UGCAGUCAGGAGAAUCCCAGCGGAGUCUCCUGGCCACCAUUGGCAGCCUUCACAGGAGGCGAAAUUGCUGGGACAAGAUGAGCUCGUUCCCGAAGACAGGGCCAGUGAGUUGUGCCAGGCUGUGGCUUCCAGUGAGCAGAGGCCUAGUGUACCCUCAGGCUAGGGGUGCCAACCACCUGUCAGGGAAGAGGGAGCCCAGACCUGGUUUGCCUCCCAGACCACCCACCAUGUAUCCCAGAAGACAAGGGGUGAGCCUGCUGACAGUGCCCAGGGACAGGAGUCCCAUGCCUGCUCCCUCACCUUCCUGGGGCCCAGGCUUAGACACUGGCUGGUGGCCCUGAAUACUGAGGGGGUGCCUGGACAAAGGGGAGGAGGCCAGGAAGGGUCUGUGCUGCCUGGAAGGAGCAUGUGACAGUCAUACGUCCUGGCUGCUCAUCAGUUUCCUUCAGGGGAAGGCUGACAUAUGGGAGAUGACAUUGGUAGGCCACAGCAGAUGGCAGAGGAGCCUGGGAACUGCUGGGAGGGCAUCGCAUCUCACACAGUGCCUGAAGCGGCAGGUGUCUGUGUGUGUGUGUGGCGGGGAGCGGUGCCCAGGGUCCACCCAGUCUCCAGGAGCCGCUUCUCCCUCAGGAGAGGAGGGGUCCCUCUCUGUGCUGUGAGUUUCUUCCUCUGAAACCCCCCACAUGUCUUCUCUCAUCCCUGUCCUGGGCUCCCUUGGUUGCUGUGUCUCUCUGCAGUCCCCUCCAAGCCUGGGAUUCCUUGGCUACCUGUCAGCAUCCCCGGGGGCCCAGGACUUCAAGAGCUGGAGGGAGCUGCCUCCCAGUCUAGCCCUGCCUGUGUGGACCCAGGGCUUAUGCCCCAUGCCAAGCCUGGCUCACCUGUGAAAAUGGGGUCGGGCUGGCAUCUGCCGUGUGGGCUGCGGGAGGAGUGAAUGGGAGAAUGCAAAGGGCUGGGCCAGAAAGGGGGCUCCAGGAAAGCUGAAUGCAUGAACAAGUAAGAAUUAGUGCAGCCUGGGCAACACAGACCCUAUCUCUGUGAAAUUAAAAAAAAAAUUAAAAAUUAGCUGGGCAUGCUGGCUCAUUCCUGUAGUCCCAACAACUUGGGAGGCUGGGGUGGGGGGAUUGCUUGAUGAUGGAAAGUUGCACUGAGCUAUGAUCACGCCAUUGCACUCCAGCCUGGGUAACAAUGCGAGACCCCAUCUCAAAAAAAAUGAGAAUUAGUCAAUGAAGCCAGGUGCAGUAGUGCACCUGUAGUCCCAGCUGUUCAGAAGGCUGAGACAGGAGGAUUGCUUGAGACCGGGAGUUUGAGGCCAGCCCAGGCAACACAGCGA
rnacentral:lncRNA from 1 species